GUGCUCACUUUGGCAGCACAUAUAUUAAAAUUGGAACGAUACAGAGAAGAUUAGAGAAUCUACUGAGUAUCGUUCAUAAUAUAUAGUGUAAAUUAAAAAAUUACU